rnacentral:rRNA from 1 species
UACGAAGGGGGCGAGCGUUGUUCGGAUUUACUGGGCGUAAAGGGCGCGCAGGCGGUCUUGUAAGUCAGGCGUGAAAGCCCCGGGCUUAACCUGGGAAUUGCGCUUGAUACUCUGAGACUGGAGUACGGGAGAGGAGAGUGGAAUUCCGAGUGUAGAGGUGAAAUUCGUAGAUAUUGGGAAGAACACCAGUGGCGAAGGCGGCUCUCUGGACCGUAACUGACGCUGAGGCGCGAAAGCGUGGGGAGCAAACAGG